rnacentral:rRNA from 1 species
GACGAACGCUGGCGGCGUGCCUAAUACAUGCAAGUCGAACGCAGUGGGGACGGGUGAGUAACACGUGGGUAACCUCCCAUAAGAGGGGAUAACACUUGGCAACAGGUGCUAAACCGAUACUGAGGGAUGGACCCGCGGUGCAUUAGCUAGUUGGUGAGGUAACGGCUCACCAAGGCCACGAUGAAUAGCCGACCUGGGAGGGUAAUCGGCCACACUGGGACUGGGACACGGCCAAGACUCCUACGGGAGGCAGCAGUAGGGAAUCUUCGGCAAUGGACGAAAGUCUGACCGAGCAACGCCGCGGUAAUUC